rnacentral:rRNA from 1 species
GACGUAGGGCGCGAGCGUUGUCCGGAUUUAUUGGGCGUAAAGAGCUCGUAGGCGGCUUGUCGCGUCGUUCGUGAAAACCUGCAGCUCAACUGCAGGCUUGCGGUCGAUACGGGCAGGCUGGAGUUCGGUAGAGGAGACUGGAAUUCCUGGUGUAGCAGUGAAAUGCGUAGAUAUCAGGAGGAAUACCGAUGGCGAAGGCAGGUCUCUGGGCUGACACUGACGCUCAUGCACGAAAGCGUGGGGAGCAAACAGG